CCUACGGGUGGCAGCAGUGAGGAAUAUUGGUCAAUGGACGAGAGUCUGAACCAGCCAAGUAGCGUGAAGGAUGACUGCCCUAUGGGUUGUACACUUCUUUUAUAUGGGAAUAAAACGUUCCACGUGUGGCAUUUUUUAUGUACCAUAUGAAUAAGGAUCGGCUAACUCCGUGCCAGCAGCCGCGGUAAUACGGAGGAUCCGAGCGUUAUCCGGAUUUAUUGGGUUUAAAGGGAGCGUAGGUGGAUUGGUAAGUCAGUUGUGAAAGUUUGCGGCGCAACCGUAAGAUUGCAGUUGAAACUGGCAGUCUUGAGUACAGGAGAGGUGGGCGGAAUGCGUGGUGUAGCGGUGAAAUGCUUAGAUAUCACGAAGAACUCCGAUUGCGAAGGCAGUUCACUGGACUGCAACUGACACUGAGGCUCGAAAGUGUGGGUAUCAAACAGGAUUAGAUACCCCGGUAGUC
rnacentral:rRNA from 1 species